AUUGAACGCUGGCGGCAGGCUUAACACAUGCAAGUCGAACGAGUGGCGGACGGGCGAGUAACAUUUAGGUAUCUGCCUGGCAGUUGGGGAUAGCUCGGUGCUACUCGCAUUAAUUCCUCCUACUACUAGUUGCGCCCAAAUCAGAUUAGCUAGUUGGUGGGGUAAAGGCCCACCAAGGCGACGAUCUGUAACUGGUCUGAGAGGAUGAUCAGUCACACCGGAACUGAGACACGGUCCGGACUCCUACGGGAGGCAGCAGUGGGGAAUAUUGGACAAUGGGGGCAACCUGAUCCAGCCAUGCCGCGUGUGUGAAGAAGGCCUUUUGGUUGUAAAGCACUUUAAGCAGGGAGGCGUUACCUGCAGAAUAAGCACCGGCUAACUCUGUGCCAGCAGCCGCGGUAAUUC
rnacentral:rRNA from 1 species